rnacentral:rRNA from 1 species
GUAGGUGGCAAGCGUUGUCCGGAAUUAUUGGGCGUAAAGCGCGCGCAGGUGGUUCUUUAAGUCUGAUGUGAAAGCCCCCGGCUCAACCGGGGAGGGUCAUUGGAAACUGGGGAACUUGAGUGCAGGAGAGGAAAGUGGAAUUCCACGUGUAGCGGUGAAAUGCGUAGAUAUGUGGAGGAACACCAGUGGCGAAGGCGACUUUCUGGCCUGUAACUGACACUGAGGCGCGAAAGCGUGGGGAGCAAACAGGGAUUGGAUACCCUGGUGGUCCACGCCGUAAACGAUGAGUGCUAAGUGUUGGGGGGGUUUCCCGCCCCUCAGUGCUGCAGCUAACGCAUUAAGCACUCCGCCUGGGGAUACGGUCGCAAGACUG